rnacentral:miRNA from 1 species
AGUACAGGUGUUUAUUGAAAAACAUCUACAUGUAAGUGGACCUGUGUAGUUCAAACCGGUGUGGUUCAAGAGUCAACUGUGCUU